GCCGGCCGGAGCCGCUCUGCGAGGACGGGGGAGCGGAGCGAGGCGGGCAGUGGGCGCCCGGCGGGGAGAAGUGCCGGAGGGAGCGGGUGCGCGUGUGCGUGCGCUCGGGGGAGGUUCUAGGACAGACUGGGCCCCACUCCUCAACUCCCUCUCCUUGCCCUCGGAGAGCUUUUGCACAUUUUCAUGUGAACAAACAGUUGACUUUUGAGGAAAACUCUUCCAUCAGGACAACGUUGUGCUGCUACAUAUCCCACUGACAUUAGGGAAUAAGUGCCAAAGAUCUGACAAAAUAUUAGCUUCUACAUGUAAAACCUAUGAAUUUUCAGAUGAUGGAAGCUGCUCAAGUAACUCUCAUAUCAAACUUCCAGAAGGUGUCACUGUGCACCUAUGCUUUGAAUGGAGAACCUCAUCAGUUGAGGAUUAAUAAUGUUACGUGCCAAGCGCUAUUCCUAUUGGGGGUCUUUUUUUUUCUCUGCUCACAGUGGAAAGCAACCAAACUAGAUCUGGGAACAAAAAAUGUUUUCCUCUCUUCAUGAUUAAUAAAGGAAAAAAAAGGUAUCAACGUCACUCAAGAGAUUCAUAUCCAGCCAUGACCUUCAGAAAUAUUCCCAAUAUUCUGUGUCAUAAGUAAGCUAAUUGUUAUGCAGACUCCUUUCUAUUGAAAAAUACUAAAUAUAGUUAAAUUAUAGAAGAAUCCAAAAGUGACAUGACUGCAAUUUUAAGGUCUGGUGUGGGAAUGCAAGAAAAACUGUUCAGAGCAGAAGCUGUGGAGCAAGAUAAACAGCAUGAGAACCAAGGACACCUCUAGAAGAAGAAAACAUCUUACGGCUCUGAUUGGAUAAGCACCUGUGUGAAUGGUUGAAGAAUGUUUUGUAGAAUGCUCUGUUGGCAUGUAAAGGUGGAUGGGAAAGUUGUAAGGGUGGAUGGGAAAGCUAGAAAAAGAAAACUUGUGAAGGUAUAUAAGUGACGUGAGAACUUGUAAUAAACUAUUUGGAUCAUUCACAUCUGAGUCCGAUCAUCAGAUGCUGCAGUCUGGAAAACUACAAAAGUACUUUGUAAUUAUAUUCCAGAGCUGAUUCAGAAAGGAAGAUUGAUAGAUUAAUUUAGAACCAGCGCUCCUGAACAGCUUGGUUUUUCAGAGCAGUAUCAAAGUGCUUUUAGAGACCUGGUUGCACAGUGUGACUGCACUGUAAUACUGUGCCUUGGCAACAUUCCUAAGGAAGACACCGGGACUUGUGAUGCUGAUUUGUAAUCAAAUUUUGGGCCAAAGAAAAUCUGGAGGAAUUUGGAGAAUGAUGUAGAAUGAUUAAAAGACCAAUGGGAGAAAACAUCAUUCACUUGCCAGAGGGAAGAAUGUGAAAAGACACGAUGGCUAAAAUAAACCGUAAUUCCUUUAAUGAAGAAGAAAGAAAGAAAAAAAAAAGAGGGCAAUAAGAAACUGCAAAAGAAUGCUGAACUACCUGCCAUUUGAAGAAGCUGCUUCCAAGAUUUUCCAGAGAGAAAGAGCUGGUGUUUUUCCUCUGUAUCCUUUAGCUAAACUGUUGAUCCCAGCUGGUAGAAGAAGAUCCUGAGUAUAUUUUUAAGUUACCUAUAAAUUGAAUUGACUGAUUAACGUUCAGCUAAGCAGGCAAGAUAUUAGUCAGUGUAGUAUUUUAUCCCACUUAAAGAAGGUUGUCAUGUGUUAAUGAAAACAAACUCUGUAAUUUAGGCCAGUCUAGGAUUGCUUUGCUGACAACAUUCUAGAAGUACUGCAAUAGUUUAGCUUUUGUGAUCACUGAAUUCUUCCUCUGACAGUAAUAUCCAACCUGCUCAGGCUUUGGCAUUUUGCAUGUUGAAGGUGCAUAGCUAAAAAAGGAAUUUUAGUGUUAUUUCACAGGUAAAAUAUGUAAAUCACUAAACUAGAAAAACCCAUGAUUGCUAAUUAAUACAAAUUAUCUCUGAGGGCUAGAAAAUUUGCACAUCGUUAAUAUGCAAGCAGUACAUCCAUUAAUGUGUAAUACAUCAUUAUUUUGACAACUUUUACAAAAGAAUGCCCUCUGAUUUUUGUCAGCAUAGCUAUUGCUGGCUCACAGAGAGCACUGAACAAUAAAUAUCUAUUCUCUGAGCAGUGUUUAUCGAUGCCAAAGAAAAAUCUUUGAUAAAGUAAAAAACAGUGAUUACGCCAACUAGAUUCAGUAAUUACAGAACAGUUUAAAAGGACCUUGUGAGGAGCUCUUUGUUUCGCAAGCUGAGUGUUUCAGAGUACACUGUUUACAGCAGAGCUCCUACAAGGACCUAUAGGUCUGAGCCAGGCUUCCUCCCUGUACGCAGGCAUCCAAACAUGCCAUCCAGAAAACUCCAAAUCACUGAGCAAGGAGCUGCUCCGUGGGGACAGAGGGAACUCCCAAACAGAGGAAUAAGUGUUUGCGGUGCAUCUUUUUUUUCACUGUGAAUUUCACUUUGAGUUCUGAUCUCCCAGGCUGGUGGCAUGGCUGCAGGAGAUGGCCUACAUCAGCCUCUGCUUCCAGAAGGGCCCCAUCAGAUUUGGAUGUGGCUAAACGUGGAGGAGAGGGGGAUGACCUUCCAUUCUGGCUGCCCUGGAAUUUCCUAUGGAUUUUGGUUCAGGCUCAAUGAGUACCUAUUAAGAAGGAAAAGUGAAUCUCACAUCUCUACUUGGUAAAGUCGAGUCAGAGAAAGGUUUUCAAGUGGGGCUGCCCGUAAUUUGGGCAACAGCAGUAAGUAGUGGGCUAUCAAAUGAGAAAGCACUCCUCUGUCCUG